ensembl:lncRNA
GGAAGCUCUCCAGGCACCAUGCCAGAGCCUGUGUGCACAUCUUUGCACUCCCCAAGUAGCUGUCCUGCCUCUGCCCAGGGGUGAGCCCGAGACCUUCUAGUCUCCUCCUGCCUGGAGCGAGCGGUCACUCACUCCUGGAAGAUGCCUGGAGACGUGGGGUUCUCUCUGACUCAUGCAAUAGCGAGCCAGUCUCCAAAACCCCAGUCAGCAGGGAGAGGCUAAACCAGGUGGCAGUCUACUCAGCCUCCAACCCCACAGCCCCAGGGGAAGAAGGACCAGGUGCAGUUCACGGGGCAGUUAUGAAACCUGAGAAGAAGCUGGAAUGGCGUUGGGCUGGGGCUUUGAGAACAGGCAGGUAUUGUGUGGUCAGGUGCAGAGGGGGUAUAGAAUACCCAUCAGUUCACAUACAAACACUAUCCCAGCUUUGUGCAGAGGGAGGAAAGGCCUUCCAGGAGCCUGAGUGGUUUCAAACCAGAAUGGAAAAAGGAAGGCUGUGUCCAUGAGGGGGUUGGUGAGCCACACCCAGAAGAAAGGAGGCCCAGAAGCCAAUAUGGACAUGUUUCCCAGCCCUCACCCCAAUGCCUAAAACAAUUUUAAAGAUCCCAGCAUAUAUGCCUGAGACAUCUCCGGGGAUACGGAAGUUCCAUCGGUCAGUGAUCAAAGAAUCUUUUCCUAACAGCCUUGGGCAGGGGUUAGUUUCUCCACAUGUCAUCAUACUGGUCAUCAGCAAAUACUUACUGUCUGCAUGGUCAAAGAUCAGUGCCUGCCCUCCCAGUCCCUGCCUCCUGAAGACAGACCAUGAAGGGCAACAAAGCUUCGCAGGAGCUUGAGCAACCAGACAAAGAUGGCUUGCAACGGGUCAGACACAAGAGACAUGGAACACCUCAUCUUUGUGUGGAAGCCAAAGCUUUGCAUGUUUUACCAUUUUCCUCUUUCACAGUGGCUGGAAGGCUGUGAAAGGGAUCAUGAAGAGACUGAAGUGGGCUCUCAGGGAUCGUCUCCUUGGGGCCAUCUGCUCACCACUGCCCUCCACUGGACGCCGGGCCAAAGCAGCCCGGCCCUGUCGGGGCGCUCUCAGGCUUCCUUCUCGCCCCAUGCUGGAUCCAGCUCCUGGGCAAACCGGUUUUUCUGCUGGCUUCUCUUACCAGGUUUGUUUCACUCUAACUGUGCUGCACUGAAUUCAUGA